AUCCUACGGGGGGCAGCAGUGGGGAAUAUUGCACAAUGGGGGGAACCCUGAUGCAGCAAUGCCGCGUGAAGGAUGAAGGUUUUCGGAUUGUAAACUUCUUUUGUACGGGACGAAGAAAGUGACGGUACCGUAAGAAUAAGCCACGGCUAACUACGUGCCAGCAGCCGCGGUAAUACGUAGGUGGCAAGCGUUAUCCGGAUUUAUUGGGUGUAAAGGGCGUGUAGGCGGGAGCGCAAGUCAGAUGUGAAAACUCAGGGCUCAACCCUGAGCCUGCAUUUGAAACUGUGUUUCUUGAGUGCUGGAGG
rnacentral:rRNA from 1 species